rnacentral:rRNA from 1 species
CCUACGGGUGGCUGCAGUUGGGAAUCUUGCACAAUGGGGGAAACCCUGAUGCAGCGACGCCGCGUGGAGGAUGACGGAUCUAGGUCUGUAAACUCCUUUUUCACGGAAAGACUUAGGACGGUACCGUGAGAAUAAGCUCCGGCUAACUACGUGCCAGCAGCCGCGGUAAGACGUAGGGAGCAAGCGUUGUCCGGAUUUACUGGGCGUAAAGGGCGCGUAGGCGGCCUGUUAAGUGUGAAGUGAAAUCUCCAGGGCUCAACCCGGAAACUGCUUUA